rnacentral:rRNA from 1 species
UACGGAGGGUGCAAGCGUUAAUCGGAAUUACUGGGCGUAAAGCGCGCGUAGGCGGCUCGAUCAGUCGGGUGUGAAAUCCCUGGGCUCAACCUGGGAACUGCAUUCGAUACUGUCGAGCUAGAGUGUGGGAGAGGGUAGUGGAAUUCCUAGUGUAGAGGUGAAAUUCGUAGAUAUUAGGAAGAACACCAGUGGCGAAGGCGGCUCACUGGCCCGGUACUGACGCUGAGGCGCGAAAGCGUGGGGAGCAAACAGG